UACGAAGGGGGCUAGCGUUGCUCGGAAUUACUGGGCGUAAAGCGCACGUAGGCGGAUUGUUAAGUCGGGGGUGAAAUCCUGGAGCUCAACUCCAGAACUGCCUUCGAUACUGGCGAUCUCGAGUUCGGGAGAGGUGGGUGGAACUGCGAGUGUAGAGGUGAAAUUCGUAGAUAUUCGCAAGAACACCAGUGGCGAAGGCGGCUCACUGG
rnacentral:rRNA from 1 species